GAUGAACGCUGGCGGCGUGCUUAACACAUGCAAGUCGAACGGAAAGGCCGAAGCUUGCUUCGGUACUCGAGUGGCGAACGGGUGAGUAACACGUGGGUGAUCUGCCCUGUACUUCGGGAUAGGCUUGGGAAACUGGGUCUAAUACCGGAUAUGACGAUCUCUUGGAUGGGGUUGUGGAAAGCUUUUGCGGUAUGGGAUGAGCUCGCGGCCUAUCAGCUUGGUGGUGGGGUAAUGGCCUACCAAGGCGUCGACGGGUAGCCGGCAUGAGAGGGUGUACGGCCACAUUGGGACUGAGAUACGGCCCAGACUCCUACGGGAGGCAGCAGUGGGGAAUAUUGCACAAUGGGCGGAAGCCUGAGGCAGCGACGCCGCGUGGGGGAUGACGGCCUUCGGGUUGUAAACUCCUUUCGCAAUCGACGAAGCCUUUUGGUGACGGUAGGUGGAGAAGAAGCACCGGCUAACUACGUG
rnacentral:rRNA from 1 species